CUUUAGCGCGGUGGUCCCACCUGACCCCAUGCCGAACUCAGAAGUGAAACGCCGUAGCGCCGAUGGUAGUGUGGGGUCUCCCCAUGUGAGAGUAGGACACUGCCAGGC
rnacentral:rRNA from 1 species